rnacentral:misc_RNA from 1 species
UCCCGCACAAGCGGUGGAUGAUGUGGAUUAAUUCGAUGCAACGCGAACAACCUUACCUACCCUUGACAUGUCUGGAAGGCUUCCGAGAGGAGGCUGUGCCUGAAAGGGAACCGGAACACAGGUGCUGCAUGGCUGUCGUCAGCUCGUGUCGUGAGAUGUUGGGUUAAGUCCCGCAACGAGCGCAACCCUUGUCCCUAGUUGCUACGCAAGGGCACUCUAGGGAGACUGCCGGUGACAAACCGGAGGAAGGUGGGGAUG